UUGGCCAAGCAGCUAGCCCACCAAACCAACUACAAAUGAUACAUAUACCUACCCCUUAACACCCUAAACCAAAAGCAAUAAAUCAUUUUUCCUCCCUAGUAUGGGCGACAGAAAAGGAC
rnacentral:rRNA from 1 species